CCUACGGGGGGCUGCAGUGGGGAAUAUUGGACAAUGGGCGAAAGCCUGAUCCAGCCAUGCCGCGUGUGUGAAGAAGGCCUUCGGGUUGUAAAGCACUUUCAGUGGGGAAGAAAGCCUUGGGGCUAAUACCCUCGAGGAAGGACAUCACCCACAGAAGAAGCACCGGCUCAACUCCGUGCCAGCAGCCGCGGUAAUACGGAGGGUGCGAGCGUUAAUCGGAAUUACUGGGCGUAAAGCGCGCGUAGGCGGUCUGAUAAGCCGGUUGUGAAAGCCCCGGGCUCAACCUGGGAACGGCAUCCGGAACUGUCAGGCUAGAGUGCAGGAGAGGAAGGUAGAAUUCCCGGUGUAGCGGUGAAAUGCGUAGAGAUCGGGAGGAAUACCAGUGGCGAAGGCGGCCUUCUGGACUGACACUGACGCUGAGGUGCGAAAGCGUGGGUAGCAAACAGGAUUAGAUACCCGUGUAGUC
rnacentral:rRNA from 1 species